rnacentral:misc_RNA from 1 species
CGCAGCUUCGGUGCGAUCCUUGUCGCGCCGACAUCGGCAGGCAAUUCACUGGGCAGCACGUGGGCGCUGAUGGGCGACGACAACGAUACGCCGAANCGCGCAUCGUGGAGCAGGUCAGCGCGCAAUGGAAUGUCGAUUCCGACCGGCGGCUGCUGACAGGCAUGAGCGACGGCGGCACGUUCUGCUAUGUCAGCGCGCUCGACAGNCUCGCGCCGGUCUCCGCGACAUUCCAUCCGAUGCUGAUUUCGAUGGCCGACGCGCAGCGCA